rnacentral:rRNA from 1 species
AGCAGCCGCGGUAAUUCCAGCUCCAAUAGCGUAUAUUAAAGUUGUUGCAGUUAAAAAGCUCGUAGUUGAACUUCGGAAUUUAUUCAUUGGUCAGGCUUAACUGUCUGUACUGGUGUGAUGAAUUCCUACCUUCUGAGGAAUCUUCAUGCCAUUCACUUGGUGUGGUGGGGAAUCGGGACUGUUACUUUGAAAAAUUAGAGUGUUUAAAGCAGGCUAACGUCUGAAUACAUUAGCAUGGAAUAAUAAAAUAGGACGGCUUGGUUCUAUUUUGUUGGUUUCUAGGAUCACCGUAAUGAUUAAUAGGGAUAGUUGGGGGCAUUAGUAUUCAAUUGUCAGAGGUGAAAUUCUUGGAUUUAUUGAAGACUAACUACUGCGAAAGCAUUUGCCAAGGAUGUUUUCAUUAAUCAAGAACGAAAGUUAGGGGAUCGAAGACGAUCAGAUACCGUCGUA